rnacentral:rRNA from 1 species
CAAUAGCGUAUAUUAAAGUUGUUGCGGUUAAAAAGCUCGUAGUUGGAUUUCUGCUGAGAACGACCGGUCCGCCCUUUGGGUGUGUAUCUGGCUCUUUCUUGGCAUCUUCUUGGUGAACGUUGCUGCACUUGACUGUGUGGAGCGCUACCCAGGACUUUUACUUUGAGGAAAUUAGAGUGUUUCAAGCAGGCAUACGCCUUGAAUACAUUAGCAUGGAAUAAUAAGAUAGGACCUCGGUUCUAUUUUGUUGGUUUCUAGAGCUGAGGUAAUGAUUAAUAGGGAUAGUUGGGGGCAUUCGUAUUUAACUGUCAGAGGUGAAAUUCUUGGAUUCGUUAAAGACGGACUACUGCGAAAGCAUUUGCCAAGGAUGUUUUCAUUG